ACUAAUUCUAGCCCUAAAACAAAUAAUUACAACUGCACUGUAAAAGUAAAACAAAACAUUUAUAUCUAAAAGUAUAGGAGAUAGAACUUUUUUUUGGCGCUAUAGAGAUAGUACCGCAAGGGAAAGAUGAAAGAUAAGAUUAACAGUAAAAAAAAGCAUAGAUUACCCCUACUACCUUUUGUAUAAUGAGUUAACUAGAAUAAAUUUGGCAAAGAGAACUGAAGCCAACUACCCCGAAACCAAACGAGCUACUUUUAAACAGCUAACAGAGCAAACUCGUCUAUGUGGCAAAAUAGUGAGAAGAUUUAGAAGUAGAGGUGAAAAGCCAAUCGAGCUUGGUGAUAGCUGGUUAUCCAAAUAAGAAUAUUAGUUCAGCUUUAAGUUUUCCAAAAAUAUAACCAAAUCGAAUGAAAACUUAAAACUUAACCUAAAGAGGGACAGCUCUUUAAAAUAAGGAAACAACCUCUAACAGUGGGUAAAAAGUAAAAAUUCCAUAGUUGGCCUAAGAGCAGCCAUCAAUUAAGAAAGCGUUUAAGCUCGACAACCCGUAAAAUUUAUAAUACCAAUAAAACUUAAUGAACCCCUGAUGAACAAUUGGAUUAAUCUAUAUACAUAUAGAAGAAAUAAUGUUAACAUUAGUAACAAGAAACAAUUCUCCUUGCACAAGCUUAAAUCAUUCACGCAUGAUUGUUAACAACCCAAUAAGACAAGACACCUCAUUAAUACUCUUAUUAGACUAAUUGUUAACCCGACACAGGAGUGCUACUCAGGAAAGACAAAACAAAGCAAAAGGAACUCGGCAAACACAAAUCCCGCCUGUUUACCAAAAACAUCACCUCUAGCAUACUUAGUAUUAGAGGCACUGCCUGCCCAGUGACAUUCGUUCAACGGCCGCGGUAUCCUGACCGUGCAAAGGUAGCAUAAUCACUUGUUCUUUAAAUAAGGACUAGUAUGAAUGGCAAGACGAGGGUUUAUCUGUCUCUUGCUUUACGUCAGUGAAAUUGAUCUUCCCGUGAAGAAGCGGGAAUAACAUAAUAAGACGAGAAGACCCUAUGGAGCUUUAAUUUAUUAGCUUACUUAACCAAAUUUUAAACCCGUGAGGGCAUAACACAUAUACGUAAACCUGAGCUAAUAAUUUCGGUUGGGGUGACCUCGGAGUACAAUAAAACCUCCGAAUGAUACUAACCUAGAUCCAACAAAUCAAAGUUUAAAUCACCAAUUGACCCAAAAUUCCCUUUGAUCAACGGACCAAGUUACCCUAGGGAUAACAGCGCAAUCCUAUUCUAGAGUUCAUAUCGACAAUGGGGUUUACGACCUCGAUGUUGGAUCAGGACAUCCUAAUGGUGCAGCAGCUAUUAAGGGUUCGUUUGUUCAACGAUUAAUAGUCCUACGUGAUCUGAGUUCAGACCGGAGCAAUCCAGGUCGGUUUCUAUCUAUUAUAAACUUCUCCCAGUACGAAAGGACAAGAGAAGUGGGGCCAAUAAACCACUCAUGCCUCAAUAACUAAAAAAUGAUAUCAUAUUAAUUUUAUAGUUUUUCCAAACAUCAUACCUAAGAAAAAGGUU
rnacentral:rRNA from 1 species